rnacentral:rRNA from 1 species
UACGAAGGGGGCAAGCGUUGUUCGGAAUUACUGGGCGUAAAGAGCGCGCAGGCGGUCGUUCAAGUCGCGUGUGAAAGCCCCCGGCUCAACUGGGGAGGGUCACGCGAUACUGAUCGACUCGAAGGCAGGAGAGGGAAGUGGAAUUCCCGGUGUAGUGGUGAAAUUCGUAGAUAUUCGGAAGAACACCAGUGGCGAAGGCGGCUCACUGGACCGGCAUUGACGCUGAGGUGCGAAAGCGUGGGGAGCAAACAGG